rnacentral:rRNA from 1 species
UACGUAGGCAGCGAGCGUUGUUCGGAGUUACUGGGCGUAAAGGGUGCGUAGGCGGUCGGGUAAGUCGGAUGUGAAAUCUCAGGGCUCAACCCUGAACUGCAUUCGAUACUGCUUGGCUAGGGUACUGGAGAGGAGACUGGAAUUACGGUGUAGCAGUGAAAUGCGUAGAUAUCGUAAGGAAGACCAGUGGCGAAGGCGAGUCUCUGGACAGUUACCGACGCUGAGGCACGAAGGUCAGGGAGCAAACGGG